UUGUCUGUAGUGUAACGGUUAUCACAUCCGCUUUACACGCGGAAGGUCCCAAAUUCGAUUCCUGGCAGAUACA